rnacentral:rRNA from 1 species
AUUGAACGCUGGCGGCAGGCCUAACACAUGCAAGUCGAGCGGAUGAAGGGAGCUUGCUCCUGGAUUCAGCGGCGGGCGGGUGAGUAAUGCCUAGGAAUCUGCCUGGUAGUGGGGGAUAACGUCCGGAAACGGGCGCUAAUACCGCAUACGUCCUGAGGGAGAAAGUGGGGGAUCUUCGGACCUCACGCUAUCAGAUGAGCCUAGGUCGGAUUAGCUAGUUGGUGGGGUAAAGGCCUACCAAGGCGACGAUCCGUAACUGGUCUGAGAGGAUGAUCAGUCACACUGGAACUGAGACACGGUCCAGACUCCUACGGGAGGCAGCAGUGGGGAAUAUUGGACAAAGGGCGAAAGCCUGAUCCAGCCAUGCCGCGUGUGUGAAGAAGGUCUUCGGAUUGUAAAGCACUUUAAGUUGGGAGGAAGGGCAGUAAGUUAAUACCUUGCUGUUUUGACGUUACCAAAAGAAUAAGCACCGGCUAACUUCGUG